rnacentral:rRNA from 1 species
CAAGGAUUUUUUUGGGGUGGGAGUCAAKGGGAAAAAWUCCCWACGGCGUAGCGAAAGCGAAGAUCGCGAUCCCUUCGGCUUUAUAGUCGACGGGCGCAGCGACCGCCUUUCCUAGACCAAGGAGGAAGGAGCGAGAGCACCUCGGUAAGGACCCGAUAGGUGGUGAACUAUUCUCGGGCAGGACGAAGGCCGAGGAAACUCGGCUGGAGGUCCGAAGCGGUUCUGACGUGCAAAUCGAUCGCCAGACCCGAGUAUAGGGGCGAAAGACCAAUCGAACCACCUGGUAGCUGGUUCCCUCCGAAAUUUCCCUCAGGAUAGCUGUCGCUCAUUKAUGGCCAGUCUCGUCCCGUAGAGAGAAUGAUUAGAGCGCUUCGGGGACGCCCGUGUCACUCGACCUCUUCUCAAACUACGAAGGGACGUGAAAUCGGUUCUCUCCCCGAUUCGGAGACCCCGAAGUGCGGAUG